rnacentral:pre_miRNA from 1 species
AGUGCUAUAGCUGGGUCAUAUGGUGGUUCCAUUCAAAGUUUUCUGAGAGAUCUCCAUACUGCUUUCCAGAGUAGUUGCACCAAUUUGCAGUUCCACCAGCAAU